UACGUAGGGGGCAAGCGUUGUCCGGAUUUAUUGGGCGUAAAGGGCGCGUAGGCGGCGGGGUAAGUCGGGUGUGAAAUCUCAGGGCUCAACCCUGAAACUGCACUUGAUACUGCUCUGCUUGAGGACUGGAGAGGAGACUGGAAUUCACGGUGUAGCAGUGAAAUGCGUAGAUAUCGUGAGGAAGACCAGUGGCGAAGGCGGGUUUCUGGACAGUUCCUGACGCUGAGGCGCGAAGGCCAGGGGAGCAAACGGG
rnacentral:rRNA from 1 species